ACCAUGGGGUUGAAGAAAUUCAAAGUCUUGAAAACCCUGAGACUACUAAGAGAAAGAUUAUAUUGACGAGGCUCAAGAGUGGGGCUAUAUCUCAGGUGAAUUACUGUUUUCCUCGGAUUUCUACGGAGGAAUGCAGGGAUUCAAGGUCUUGUAAGAAGAUGAAACGGAAGAGGAAAAAGAGGGGAAGGGAAGACAAUCUGUUUCGAAGAGGAAAAAGAGGGAAAGGGGAGACAAUCUGUUCGACAGAUUGCUUCAAAGACGAUGUCAUCCUGUCAAGCCAUGCAAUUAAUAUGUUUUCUUUGUAAUGGUCAGAUGUGGUUCGGUUAAAUCUUCAUCUUCUUCCUUUGGUGAAGCAAGCAAAAGACUAAGCCAAAUGUUGUGCAAACUUCCCCGUAAACAAAAGAAGAUGUACGAGGACAUUGCUGUAAAGGAUAGUUCAAGGUAUAAGAGGCAAUGCAUGGUUUUGAAUUGCAAAGAGCAGGACCUUUCCACCGGUCAGAAUAGAAGUGUCGACGUG